rnacentral:lncRNA from 1 species
UAGUCUCUCUCAUAUUUAAGCUUGAUUUAAUCAAAUCCAAUCCAAGUUAAACUGAAUCCAAUUCAAUUAGACUUCAUCCGAACCUUAUUGCUCAAUCAAAUUGAGCCAAUUAGUAAUUCAAUUGCUAAUUAAUCCUCCUAUAAUUCACUAACACUUAGUGGACUAUAUAAUUAUAACUUUUACUUAAGGUCCAUCAUCAAUCACAUUGAUAAUUUUAUCCUUCAAUGAUUUAUAAUCAUUGAUCAACCACC